AUGGAAAAUCUGGCAGUUCUCAAGGAGCUGACGGUCCGCACACCUCAGCACUCCAAGCGCCUUCUCACGCUUAAUUCGUUGGAGAAGUUGGAAAUCAGUAAGUGUGAAAAUAUAACACGGCUGGCGGUGGGGGUGCAUGUGCAACAGCUGGAGCAGGGGCAAGAAGAAGAUGGGUUGCUGCUCAUCCCAGCCCAUCUCUGCGACUCGCUGCAGGAGUUGGUCAUUUACAAAUGCCCAAAUCUAGUUUUGAUGGACCCAUUGAGUUUUCUUCCGGCCGAUGGAGAAGGGUUCCAAGCCCUGCGGUUCCUCCAGAGGUUAAAAAUUUCAGAAUGCCCCAACUUGUUAUCCCCCGGCUCGUUUUCCCGGUAUCUUUUCCCGUCCUCUCUGCAGAAACUCUUUCUUCACGGUGUGGAAGGCAUGGGGACACUGGAGCCCCUCUCAAACCUCACCUCUCUCAUGCGAUUAGAAUUGUGGAGUUGUGGAGAGAAUUUAAGAUGCACGGGACUGGGGCCUCUCCUUACCACCACGGGACAACUCAGAAAAUUAAGAGUCCAUGGCAGCCCUAGAUUCUUUGCUGGAUGGGAUCCCCGUCCCGCGCAGAUACCGCGGGAUGUUUCCUCCUCGAGUUUAUCCAAACUGCAGAAACUCCUGACGGAUGAGGCCGCAGACCUCCUUGUUGAGCCCAUUUGCACGUUCCUGUCCUCCUCUCUAAUCGAGCUGCGCUUUUAUCAGAACCAGAACAUCGAGGGAUUCACCACGCAGCAAGAGGACGCCCUUAGCCUCCUUAACGGCCUCCGGGAACUCGGGUUUGAGAUACUCAACAAUCUUCAGCAACUCCCUCGAGGGCUGUACAGGCUUACCAACCUCAAGCGAUUAGUGGUCUACGCAUGUCCGACCGUCCAGUCACUGCCCAUUGAUGGCCUCCCGGAAUCACUGGAAGAAUUAUAUGUCCCUGGCUGCGGCAGCGACGAGCUGGAACAACAGUGCGAGGGGUUAGUGGGAACCAUCCCACGCAUCAUACUAUCACCAUAG
rnacentral:rRNA from 1 species